UACGUAGGGUGCAAGCGUUAAUCGGAAUACUGGGCGUAAAGCGUGCGCAGGCGGUGAUGUAAGACAGAUGUGAAAUCCCCGGGCUCAACCUGGGAACUGCAUUUGUGACUGCAUCGCUGGAGUGCGGCAGAGGGGGAUGGAAUUCCGCGUGUAGCAGUGAAAUGCGUAGAUAUGCGGAGGAACACCGAUGGCGAAGGCAAUCC
rnacentral:rRNA from 1 species